rnacentral:rRNA from 1 species
UACGAAGGGGGCUAGCGUUGUUCGGAAUCACUGGGCGUAAAGCGCACGUAGGCGGGCUGUUAAGUCGGAGGUGAAAUCCCAGGGCUCAACCCUGGAACUGCCUUCGAUACUGGCAGCCUAGAGUAUGGGAGAGGAUGGUGGAACUCCGAGUGUAGAGGUGAAAUUCGUAGAUAUUCGGAAGAACACCAGUGGCGAAGGCGGCCAUCUGGCCCAUUACUGACGCUGAGGUGCGAAAGCGUGGGGAGCAAACAGG